CUUGCAGCUCCCCAGGCCCCUGCAGGCCUUGUGCAAGAGCUGUAAAUCUCUCACCACCCACAGGCCUGGGGGGGCCUGCCGCUGGGACUUUCAUGUCCGGAGAUUUUAUGCCUUUGCUCCUCUGUUGGGCUCCAUAGCUCCUGCCUGGGGCCUCUCCCUAGCCUGUAAAAAUCCAGUCCCAUAAAUCUCUGCUGCCCCCCAGGAGCCAAGCAGAGUUCUUCCCACUCCAACUCCCACUCAUAAGCAUCUCUCCCCUCAAGAGACCACAGUGAAGUGGCAAGGUCGAAGCAAAAGGUUUCCAAGAAGGGCAGCAGCUAAAUGGGGGUCUUCCUGGGACCUCCUCCGGCAUCAGUCUCUGCUUGGGUGGGAUUGGACUCUGUAACUGAAUGGUCUGUUUCCAGCUUCAAUGCUGGAGGGGCUUCUGGGGGUCUCUGGUGGGGAGGCCCUUGGCCUCCACUGCCUAUUAGUAUCCACCUGAGCCUCCCGAGACAGGUGGCUGUCUGUCUGCCAAGCCCCCAGGUGCAUUGGAGGUGGCAGGCAGCCCAGUGACUAUGCUGCUUUCCUGGAUCAAAAUGGGAAACCCAAGGAAAGGGAAAGGCAUAACAGUGGCUGAGGCCUGGAGGCUCAUGGAUGGACUGCACGGUCCAGUGGAUUCUGGGGUAAAACACAGUGCUUAACUUCUUAGUCUGAUGGGGGAGACUGUGCACUCGUCCAGGACCUGGGCAUUGAGAAAGGGGCCAGAUUGCCGGCACUGGGUAGGACUCAGGGCAGGGAUGAUACUGUGCCUGGGAACGUCCCAUUAGAGAAGAGGAGCACCAGACUGGCUUGGGAAGGAGGAAGAGGCGAGAGCUGCAAAGGGAGCAGGGUGUCCCCAGCAGAAAGAACAGUUUGUUCACAGGUUCCUAGGAGAGAGGAUGUGACCUGGGUGGGGGGACGCCAGCAUGUUUGCCAGGAAGGUGAGGAGCCUGGCUCCACCCUUCCUGGAAAGACAUGAGAAGGAGAGAGUGGCCUUCAUGCUGAAGGUGGGGAGAGGUAAGGUGGGCGGUGGGAGGGAGAGCUCUAUGGUGGAAGGGCUUGAGUGGGAUGCAGCUGCUCAGGAGAGAACCCAGGCCAAACUCUCACUGACCCUCCUGGCCUACUGGGAUCUCACUGCCAGAUGAGCAGACAUUGGGAAGCCCAGGAUCUCUGUUCAAAAGUCAUCUCACUCACCCACCCGCAUCCCCGCCAUGUCCAGAUUCUGACUUGCAUCCCAUCUCCCCAUGCCCACUGCCAGGCUGAGCUACUGCUCAUGGCUACCAUUUAUUGAGUACCUACUGCAUGCCAGGCACUGCUCCAAGCUCUUUACAUGCGUUGACUCAUUCAAGCCCAUUUUCCCUAUGAGAUAGGUCCUAUAAUCAGCCCCACUUUGCAGAUGAGAAAACUGAGGCAUAGUGAGCUUAAGUAACUUGCUCAAGAUCACACCACUGGCUUCACAGUCAGGAUUCCAGCCAGGCACCUGGCUCUAGAGCCCAUGUCUCCACCUCUGCCCUCUGCUACAGAAGAGGCUUCACCACCAAGGCCCGGGGAAAGGGUGUCCUCUGUGCCUCCUCCCAACUCCUUCAGAGGCCAGUGGGGUUGGCCCUGGACAUUUGGAGAGAAGCCUGCCAGUUAUCCUCUUUCCACAGGGAGGGGGCAGUUGUAGCCUAACGUUCUGGUGCUUUCUAGGGGUCCUCUGCCUUUUGGGGUAUGCUCACCUCAAAGGCAGCAUCAGGGACAAGCUCCUGAUUCCCACGGGGUGCCCUGCUUCCGCUAGUGCCCAGCAACCAUGGGGAAACUGGGCAAUAGCAAAAGUGAAACUGACUCAGCCGGUUUCCCACCCCUGCCAAGGGAAAUGGGGAGCAGCCUCGGCUGGACAACAACCAAUUAGGCACUUUUUAUUGCCCACGCUGUCAUAAUCCUCAGAGCUUGGCUACGAUGAAGGAGAGGAAAUAGGAUAGGAUGGAAUUCCAAGAUGCCUUUAGAGUUCAUCCCAGCCAUUCCCCUGCUUCUAGAUGGGAAAGUUCAAAUACCAUCCACAAGAACUUUCCUCCAAGUGAGGCCCUUAGCCCUGGAAGUCAAUAGGCCUUUGCAUCUAUUGCAUCUAACAAGAAUCAUUCAACCUCAUAGAGGGGUUUUCUCCUGUCCUUUGCUCCAGCGACUCAGGGAAGACGAAUCUUAUUUGUGUUUUUUCCCAGGACACGGUGGGUGGGGAGCUAGGCUCAUGCAGUCGUGAAGACCUCUGGUACCACCUGGAUGGUGGCAUUAGGGAUCAGGGAACUACUGAUUUUUCAAGUGCAAUCUGACUCCUCUCUCAGACUAGCAAUUCCCAGAGGACAGAGGUCUUGUCUCCUCCCUCAGACUGAAAGCUCCUGGAGAAACUGCCUUCCCUCACUUCCCUCUCUUGUCCCCUGCCCCUUCUCUCAGUUGCCCAGGGCAGAGCUUUGUCCACAGAGGGCCACUCCUGCUGUGCAUAGAACCUUGACUGUGUCGGUGACUCAGAGGGGGUUACAAUCUGAUUGGGAAGUGCUACCGUGGUCUGUCGGUGCCUCCAUUUCCUCUUGUGUAGAAUGGAGUUGUAAUGAAGAUUAAUUUUUUUUUUUUUUUGAGACGGAGUCUCGCCCUGUUGCCCAGGCUGAAGUGCAGUGGUGCGAUCUCGGCUCACUGCAAGCUCCACCUCCCGGGUUCACGCCAUUCUCCUGCCUCAGCCUCCCGAGUAGCUGGGACUACAGGCGCCCGCCACCACGCCCGGCUAAUUUUUUGUAUUUUUAGUAGAGACUGGGUUUCACCAUGAUAGCCAGGAUGGUCUUGAUCUCCUGACCUCGUGAUUCGCCUGCCUCAGCCUCCCAAAGUGCUGGGAUUACAGGUGUGAGCCACCACGCCCAGCCAUGAAGAUUAAAUUUUUAAAAAGCAUGUGCCUGGCUCGUGGUAAGGGCUCAGUAAAUGAGAGCUUUUAUUGCCUUCAGGACAGCUGGCGCCCCUCCUAGCUUUCUGCUUAUCAGAAAUCAGGAUGGGGAGAUCCAGCAGCCUAAGCUUAGAAAGGUAGCCUUCAAAAUGAGAAUCACAGAAGCCAGCCAGCCUAGCAGCCCUAUGCGGGUCUCGGGCUGAGACCCUGGUGGACAAGUGAAGUCCAUUAUCUCCAGGAGGUAGCAAGGAGAUCAGUAGUCAGCAUGGGCAACCUCGGAGAUCUUCAGCAGACAGGGUGGCAACGAAGAUGGAUUUCAAGUUAGGACCCAACUGCCAAGGCAGGGCAGAGCAGACAAGGGAGAGUACAUUUCGUUGCUUCAUAACACCUGGGAGGGGUAUGGUGGUUCCUUUUCCAGGGUGCUGGUGGUCUUAAACCUAAAAGAGAUGUUCAUCAGCAUGCUGGGGGGUUGUGGCAGAGGCUGGGGGAGGGAUGCAGUGACUUUUCCAAGAUCACGGAUUCCAUAAUCACCUGAAAGAAGGGGAAGGGACAGAGAGAGGUGAAAAACACACCCAGGCUGAGCAAACAUCCACCUUCCCUGUCUUUUUUUUUUUUUUUUCUUUUUCUGAGGCUGAGUUUCACUCAGUCGCCCAGGCUGGAGUGCAGUGGCAUGAUCUCAGCUCACUGCAAUCUCCACCUCCUGGGUUCAAGCAAUUUUCUUGCCUCAGCCUCCCAAGCAGCUGGGAUUACAGGCGCACGCCACUAUGCUGGCUAAUUUUUUGUGUUUUUACUAGAGACGGGGUUUCACCAUGUUGACCAGGCUGGUCUCGAACUCCUGACCUCAUGUGAUCCGUCCGCCUCGGCCUCCCAAAGUGCUGGGAUUACAGAUGUGAGCCAACGCACCCGGCUACACCUUCCCUGUCAUGGGCAGACAUACACCCCUGGGUUCAGAGUGUGUUCGUGCAUGGAUGGAUUCAGGGCACAGAAGGGGACCUAGAGGUUGGCAGCUGCUGUGAGGAAGAGGAGACAUUGUCUCCCCAGUUGGUUCUGUCCUGAGUAAGCACCCUGGAUGAGGCUGAGCAGGUGACACCUGGCAUGGAGCCAGGCCCUCAGGCGAGCAGGGUGGGCAAGUGGGAGGAGGGGAAGUGCAACAGGACUUUAUAAGAGAUGAGGCGGACCCCUGCAUCCUUCUGCCUUGGGCCUCCAAGGAAGGAGCAAGUGCGAAUGGGGAGGUGGGGCAGGAGGAGGGAUUCUGAAGCUCUCUGGAAAAUCCUGAGUGUAGGGGAGAAUAACUCACUCUUCUUUUUCUCAGCAUGGACUUAAUAAGUCAUGUCCCAGCCUGGGCAACAUAGCAAGACCCUGUCUCUACAAAAAAAAUAAAUAUAAAAAUUAUCUGGUGUGGUGGCGCGUGCUUCUAGUCCUAGCUACUCAGAAGACUGAGGCUGGAGGAUCGCUUGAGCCCAGGAGUUUGAGGAUGCAGUGAGCUAUGGUCAUACCACCGCACUCCAGCCUGAGCAACAGAGUGAGAUCCCAACUCAAUAAAUAAAUAAAUAAAAUAAAAUCAUGUUCACUGCUAAAUAUAUACAAUUGUAAUUGGCCAACUAAACAAAAAAUAAGCUGGGUGCAGUGGCUCACGCCUCUAAUCCUGGCACUUUAGGAGGCUGAGGUGGGAGGAUCACUUGAACUCAGGAGUUUAAGACCAGCCUGGGCAACACAGGAUGACCCCAUCUUUACAUUUUUUUUUUUUUUAAUUAGCUGGAUGUGGUGGUGUGCGCUUGUAGUACCAGCUACUUGGAUGGCUGAGAUGGGAGGAUUGUUUGAGCCCUGGAGGUUGAGGCUGCAGUGAGCUGGGAUCACACCACUGCACUCCAGCCUGGGUGACAGAGAGAGACCCUGUCUCAAAAACAAAAAAAAACAAAAAAAAACAAAAAGAAUGGGAAUUCUUUCCCUUAUGCUUCCAUGUUUCCCUGACUUCCUUUGGGUGAUCUGUCUACUUGUGAAAAUCUUUCCUGAGCGGAAAGGUGGAUGGACCUCCCCUCUGCCACCUCCUCCCCUGCCAGCAGUCAGCUUCCUGUGCUCAGUGCAGGGAGCAGAUCUAGAGGAGACCCUGUCAGGGAGCAGUGGUUAGAUAGGGGAGGCGUAGUUCUUGACCACAGAGAUGUCUCAGCCUGAGUGGGAAGACAGAAUACAUCCCUGAUUCAUCAGCAGAGACCAGAAACAAGGGCAGACAGCAACUGAAUGGAAUUAUUGAGGUAGUGCUGGGAGAAUGGGAAGAAGAUACAGGGAAGGGGCUGAGUGGAGUUAUUGGGGGAAAGCUUUCUAGAGGAGAAUCUGAAAUUGAUUUGGCAGGGGAUUGGGGGAGAGGCUAGUAAAUGCCAUUUACCCCCAAACUAUGCCCAUUCACCGGAGGAAGAAACCACCUAGGACUUCACUGUAAAUCUGAGCCAGGAUUGCAAAUCACCCCCUUUUCCCCAGGCUCGGGUUGUGUGCUCAGAUAAGGUGCCAACAAUGGGGCGGGGCCAUGGGAGGGGGAAACAUGGGCUCCCUGGCCCAUGGAUGACCCAAAGUCGCUUAAAUGAAAAAGAGAGGGGCGAGUUGAGCAGGUCCCAGUCUGGGUCUGGCC
rnacentral:lncRNA from 1 species